GAUGAACGCUGGCGGCGUGCCUAAUACAUGCAAGUAGAACGCUGAAGGAAGGAGCUUGCUCUUUCCGGAUGAGUUGCGAACGGGUGAGUAACGCGUAGGUAACCUGCCUGGUAGCGGGGGAUAACUAUUGGAAACGAUAGCUAAUACCGCAUAGCAGUAGAUGUUGCAUGAUAUCUACUUAAAAGGUGCAAUUGCACCACUACCAGAUGGACCUGCGUUGUAUUAGCUAGUUGGUGAGGUAACGGCUCACCAAGGCGACGAUACAUAGCCGACCUGAGAGGGUGAUCGGCCACACUGGGACUGAGACACGGCCCAGACUCCUACGGGAGGCAGCAGUAGGGAAUCUUCGGCAAUGGACGGAAGUCUGACCGAGCAACGCCGCGUGAGUGAAGAAGGUUUUCGGAUCGUAAAGCUCUGUUGUAAGAGAAGAACGAGUGUGAGAGUGGAAAGUUCACACUGUGACGGUAUCUUACCAGAAAGGGACGGCUAACUACGUG
rnacentral:rRNA from 1 species